UACAGAGGUCCCAAGCGUUGUUCGGAUUCAUUGGGCGUAAAGGGUGCGUAGGCGGCGCGGUAAGUCGGGUGUGAAAUCUCGGGGCUUAACUCCGAAACUGCAUUCGAUACUGCCGUGCUUGAGGACUUGAGAGGAGACUGGAAUUUACGGUGUAGCGGUGAAAUGCGCAGAUAUCAGGAGGAACACCGGUGGCGAAGGCGGGACUCUGGGCCGAUACUGACGCUGAGGAGCGAAAGCGUGGGGAGCAAACAGG
rnacentral:rRNA from 1 species